rnacentral:rRNA from 1 species
CUGCCCAGUGACAUCAGUUAAACGGCCGCGGUAUCCUGACCGUGCAAAGGUAGCAUAAUCAUUCGUUCCCUAAAUAGGGACUUGUAUGAAUGGCCACACGAGGGCUUUACUGUCUCUUACUUCCGAUCCGUGAAAUGA